GUUCAGUGGCGGAAGGGUUAGUAAUACAUGGGUAACCUGCCUUUAACUCUGGGAUAACGGUUGGAAACGACCGCUAAUACCGGAUAGGGUGAAAAGAAGGAUUCUUUUUCUAUUAAAGUGGGGGAUCGCAAGACCUCGCGGUUAAAGAGAGGUCCAUGGGAUAUCAGAUAGUUGGUGUGGUAAAGGCGCACCAAGGCUAAGACGUCUAGGCGGAUUGAGAGAUUGACCGCCAACACUGGGACUGAGAACUGCCCAGAAUCCUACGGGAGGCUGCAGUCGAGAAUCAUUCGCAAUGGGCGAAAGGCUGACGAUGCGACGCCGUGUGAGUCAAGAAGGCCUUAGGUUCGUAAAGCUCUUUCGCCUGGGAACAAGAGAGGCCGGCUAAUAUCCAGCAGUUUUGAGGGUACCAGGUAAAGAAGCACCGGCUAACUCCGUGCCAGCAGCUGCGGUAAUACGGAGGGUGCAAGCAUUAAUCGGAUUUAUUGGGCGUAAAGGGCGCGUAGGCGGGGAUAUUAGUCAGAUGUGAAAUCCUGGGGCUCAACCUCAGAACUGCAUUUGAAACUGUAUUCCUAGAGGAUAGGCGGAGAAAACGGAAUUCCACAAGUUGCGGUGAAAUGCGUAGAUAUGUGGAAGAACACCGGUGGCGAAGGCGGUUUUCUAGCUUAUUCCUGACGCUGAGGCGCGAAAGCAAGGGGAUCAAACAGGAUUAGAUACCCUGGUAGUCCUUGCCGUAAACUAUGUAUACUUGGUGUAACUGGACUCAACCCCAGUUGUGCCGGACCUAACGCGUUAAGUGUACCGCCUGGGGAGUACGGUCGCAAGGGUGAAACUCAAAAGAAUUGACGGGGACCCGCACAAGCAGUGGAGCAUGUGGUUUAAUUCGAUGCAACGCGAAGAACCUUACCCAGACUUGACAUGUAGAGAACUUUCUUAGAAAUGGGGUCUUCCGAAGGGACUGCUAAACAGGUGCUGCAUGGCUGUCGUCAGCUCGUGCCGUGAGGUGUUUGGUUAAGUCCCGCAACGAGCGCAACCCUUGUCAUUAGUUGCCAGCACUUUAGUUGGGCCCUCUAAUAAAACUGCCUGGGUUAACCAGGAGGAAGGUGGGGAUAAAGUCAAGUCCGCAUGGCCCUUAUGGGUGGGGCUCCACACUUCUUACAAUGGCAGGUACAGAAGGGUGCCCACCCGCGAGGGGGAACAAUUCCCAAAAAGCCGGCCCCAGUUCAGAUUGUAUUCUGCAACUCGACUUCAUGAAGUCGGAAUUGCUAGUAAUGGCGAGUCAGCAACAUCGCCGUGAAUACGUUCCCGGGUCUUGUACACACCGCCCGUCACAUCAUGGGAGUUGGUUUUACCCGAAUCCGCUGGCUUAACCGCAAGGAAAGAGGCGUGUA
rnacentral:rRNA from 1 species